UUUUUUAGAGAGAAUACCUUUCAAGAUAGGGAUUUAGAAGGACUAAACCUAAAAAUGCUAAAGAAGGGAGUUAGUGAAGAGGCGAACACUUUAAUGAAUUGGAUUGAGGAAGGGUAUUUACUAUUUUUCUAAAAAAUCCUUAUCAGACUAAUUAAUUUAUAUUUGAA